rnacentral:rRNA from 1 species
GACGAACGCUGGCGGCGUGCUUAACACAUGCAAGUCGAACGCUGAAGCCCUGGCUUUUGUUGGGUUGGAUGAGUGGCGCACGGGUGAGUCACACGUGUGUAACCUGCCUUCUUCUUUGGGAUAACGCCCGGAAACGGGUGCUAAUACUGGAUAUUCACUGAUCUUCGCAUGGGGGUUGGUGGAAAGGUUUGUUCUGGUGGGGGAUGGGCGCGCGGCCUAUCAGCUUGUUGGUGGGGUGAUGGCGUACCAAGGCUUUGACGGGUAGCCGGCCUGGGAGGGUGACCGGUGACAUUGGGACGGAGAUACGGCCCAGACUCCUACGGGAGGCAGCAGUGGGGAAUAGUGCACAAUGGGCGAAAGCCUGAUGCAGCGGCGCCGCGUGAGGGAUGGGGGCCUGCGGGUUGUAAACCUCGUUCGCUCAUGGUCAAGCCGCAACUGUGGGUUGUGGUGAGGGUAGUGGGUAAAGAAGCGCCGGCUAACUACGUG